GAUGAAGAACGUAGCGAAAUGCGAUAAGUAAUGUGAAUUGCAGAAUUCAGUGAAUCAUCGAAUCUUUGAACGCACCUUGCACCCUUUGGCAUUCCGAAGGGUAUGCUCGUUUGAGUGUCAUUGUACUCUCACACUUCCAAUCUUUGGAUUGGGGGCGGUGGACUUGGGUGUUGCUGCUUACUGUGGCUCACCUCAAAUUGAUUCGUGCACCUCUUGGUUGGACAUAGUACGGCGUGAUAAGUGUCUUCGCCGGCACCUCAGUAGAGGGUGGCUGAUCGGGAGCUCUGUGCUUCAAACCGUCCUCGGACAACAACUGACAACUUUACCUCAAAUCGAGUAGGACUACCCGCUGAACUUAAGCAUAUCAAUAAGCGGAGGA
rnacentral:misc_RNA from 1 species